UACUCCAUAUUUUAGCUCAGAAAAGUGAUUCGGGAUGUCAACAAACGUUGAGAAACUCACUCCUCACAGCGCUUCCUUAUUACCCUGACGGUGCUCGCUGCACUACAUAGAGAACUGGAAAAUGUUUUGCCCAUUUUGUGGCGUUAGCUUCACACUCUUCACCCCUUUUUGUGCUUCCUGUGGACGGUCUCUGGAGCUUUUGCGGGACACAGACCAGGAUGAAGGGUCAGACAACCUACAGUACUGCAUUAAAUAUUUCAACGAAGGUCACUCAUAUAGUGUUAUCGUGGACAUGAUGUUAAGUUUGCAUGGUGUAAAGAUGAGUUUAAGGAGUCUUAAAAGUAAACUCAAUAAUGCUGGACUUUACCGAAGAAAACAUUUUCACUCCAGAACAACGAUCAUUAACGCAAUCAGAGCGGAGCUUCAAGGACCUGGGCGAUUGUUUGGGUAUCGAACAAUGUGGCAGGUAAUUAAACAAAAGCAUCAUCUUAAAGUGAAGAGGGAUGAUGUGAUGAAAAUACUCCGGGAGCUUAAUCCUCAUGGAUGCCAGAUGAGAACACGCAGAAGAUUCAUUAGGAGAACCUAUCAUUCGCUGGGACCCAACUACAUGUGGCAUGCUGAUGGUUAUGACAAGCUCAAACCAUUCGGUUUGGCCAUUUCAGGGUGCAUUGAUGGAUUUUCACUCAAGGUUUUGUGGCUAGAAUGUGGACCAACCAACAAUAAUCCAGUGGUUAUAGCUUACUAUUACUUGUCAUGUGUUGGGAGCCUUGGUGUUGUACCGAUGAGACUGAGAACGGACUGUGGGACAGAAAACGGCAUUAUGGCUGCAGUUCAGUGCACACUACGUCAUCAUCAUGAUGACCACUUCAGCGGAGAGUCCAGUCACAUGUUUGGUUCAUCAACGAAUAACCAGCGAAUUGAGUCCUGGUGGUCCAUAUAUCGAAAAGGAAGGGCUCAGUUUUGGUUGGAGCUGUUUGCAGAUCUUCGAGACGCUGGACACUUCAAUGGAAGUCACGAGCAUCAGUGCCUUUUGAGAUUUUGCUUCACUGACAUUGUUCAGAAGGAUCUUGAUGAAUGUGUAAAGCUGUGGAACACUCAUUGGAUUCGUCCCUCAAGAACAGCUUCAUGUCCAGGAGGUGUGCCAAAUGAACUGUACUACCUACCCCACAGAUAUGGCUCCAGGGACUGUGGAUUCCUGAUUCAACAAUCUGAACUGGACGCUUUUCCUGAGUCUAGGCUGUCAGUAGUUGUAUGUGGGGACUCAAACAUACAGGAGUAUCUGAAUUUUGUAAUGGAGCAAAAUCAUUUUCAAAAGCCAGUGUGCUGGGAGUCUGCCACUGAACUUUACAUGAAGUUAAUAGAAAUUGCACAUUUCUAAAAAAAAAAAAAAAAAAAAAAACUGUCUUUUUGUUGUUUUUACCAAAACCUAGAGCACAUGCUGUAUUUUUGAACUAGGCUACAUGAGUUGGCUGAAGAUGCCAAAAGUUUAAGUUUGUGUUUGUAAAAGCACAUUCUUACUGAAUGUCUUGCUAAUUCUGGUCCUUGUUUAGCUGAUGGAAGUUGAGAUACAGUCCUGAACA